AUCGCUUCUCGGCCUUUUGGCUAAGAUCAAGGUUAGUAUCUGUUCUUAUCAGUUUAAUAUCUGAUACGGUCCCCUAUCUGGGGACCAUAUAUUAAAAUGGAUUUUUCGAAACAGGGAGAUGGGAAAAAGAGCUUGCUCUGUCCACUCCACGCAUUGACCUGGUAAUUGCAGUACCUCCAGGACCGGUGCACCCCUU